UUCCUACUGGACACUUGCCUCAAGUGUCCUCAGUCCCACUGUGAAGAGGGUGAGAUCUCUGUAUGAGAACAUUUCAAUGAAAAUGAACCCCAGCUAAAAACUCCACAAAGCACAUAUGAAAAAAUAGGAAGAGCCUCGU